rnacentral:rRNA from 1 species
AUUGAACGCUGGCGGCAGGCUUAACACAUGCAAGUCGAGCGAGCGGCGGACGGGUGAGUAAUGUCUGGGAAACUGCCUGAUGGAGGGGGAUAACCACUGGAAACCGUAGCUAAUACCGCAUACCAUCAGAUGUGCCCAGCUGGGAUUAGCUAGUAGGUGGGGUAAUGGCUCACCUAGGCGACGAUCCCUAGCUGGUCUGAGAGGAUGACUGGCCACACUGGAACUGAGACACGGUCCAGACUCCUACGGGGGGCAGAGUGGGGGAUUAUUGGACAAUGGGCGCAAGCCGAAUGCAGCCAUGCGGCGGGUGGGAAGAGGGCCUUGGGGUUUUAAAGCACGUUCAGCGAGGAGACGUUACCCGCAGAAGAAGCAGCGGCUAACUCCGUGCCAGCAGCCGCGGUAAUAC